CAGAUUGUUUAGCAUAAGUAAUUAACACAUACGAAAGCAGUGUUUUUCAACGAUUGGUCAAUGGACUGGUGCUGGUCCCUGAGAGCUCCCUGACACAGAUUAGGAAAGCAGCAAGCUGGUCCCUGGUAUCAAACAGGUUCUGAAACACUGUUACCAGGGGCUAUUCAAGAUGAAGUGGCCUGUUAAUACCCCUG